rnacentral:tRNA from 1 species
AUAGCUAUUAAUUUCAAUUGAAUUU